GUGGAUUUCUCCUUCCCAUCACUCGGCAGGUUUUGGAUCUUUCUGUCCAAUGAGGAGGUCCAGGUGAUGCCGUUUCCCUCUACGUCUUUCAGAGGUAUGCCACCAGCUUCAGUCAGACAGAAGACAGCGAACAGCAGUCACAGAUAUCCAAAUGGCGGGAAACUUCAAAACAUCUGGAAAUAACCUCAGUCAGCUGCCAAUCAGUUGGAUAUGCCUUACAGGGCCGUGGCCAGGGAACGCCACACACAGCUGAAGCGCUUCGUGUCCCCGUAGCAGCCGCGGUGGGCGGGGACUGCCAGGGCAGCGGCAGACUUGAUCCGCACCUUGAAGUUCUUACAGGAAGUGACGACAUGGCAGAGGGAGGAGAACGCGUCGCUAGACCACGGGGCCGAGUCUGAUGGGAAAUUAAAAAAAAAAAAAGAAAGAGAAAUGAACGGUCAAGUUUGAAGAGAGAGCAACAUUAAAAUAAAAUUCAGAUCAAUCACUGAUGGGUACACUUAACAAACCCCGUAUGUGAUGUAAAACUGAGGGGGAGUGCAUUAAAAAAAAAAA